rnacentral:rRNA from 1 species
AUGACGUCGAGAGACCAAAGUGGGGGAUCGUAAGACCUCACACUCUGAGAUGAGCCUAUGUCGGAUUAGCUAGUUGGCGGGGUAACGGCCCACCAAGGCGACGAUCCGUAGCUGGUCUGAGGGGACGAUCAGCCACACCGGAACUGAGACACGGUCCGGACUCCUACGGGAGGCAGCAGUGGGGAAUAUUGGACAAUGGGCGAAAGCCUGAUCCAGCGACGCCGCGUGGGUGAAGAAGGCCUUCGGGUUGUAAAGCCCUUUAAGCCGGGACGAAAAAGCUACACCUAACACGUGUGGCCUUGACGGUACCGGAAGAAUAAGCACCGGCUAACUCUGUGCCAGCAGCCGCGGUAAUACAGAGGGUGCGAGCGUUAAUCGGAUUUACUGGGCGUAAAGCGUGUGUAGGUGGC